rnacentral:lncRNA from 10 species
ACCGAAUGCAGUCUUGUGCCUCACGCAACAUUGUCCUCCAGCCCCUACACAAUGUGGUGCUCCAUUACUCUGUGACCUUAGUGCUGCUUCUCUCUCACUAGGCUGGGAUUACAGGCUUGCACCACCAAGCCCAGAUGGUUUUUUGUGUUUUUAGUGGAGACGGGGUUGCACCAUGUUAGCCAGGCUGGUCUUACACUCCUAACCUCAGGAGAUCCACCUGCCUCAAUCUUACGAAGUGUUGGGAUGGUGGGAGAAUAAAAAUGAUCAAUGUGGUUCCAGGAAGCACUGAUUCAUUAGGAGCUGGCUUUCUUUGUCUCUGUUGCUUGAAAUAAAACUAGUCUUGGCUUCCUGUCACCUCAGGGGCAGCUGUGCUGUAGAAGACACAGGUGACUUGUUCCUGGUUCUGCCACUUGCUGAUUUGCUUAGACAAGACUUCUUUGGGCCUCGGCUUGCCUGUGUGACUUGACAAGUGAGAAUUAUAAUAAUGUCCCUGCCCGGGAGCUGUUCAGAGGCUGAAGAGGAAGACCAGACUCAGUAAAGCCUGGAGGCUGCCAGGUAGGGCUGGGGCCAGCAUGACCUGAGUCCUAGCAGGAGAAGAAGAGGCAGCCUAGAGUC